rnacentral:rRNA from 1 species
AGGGCACCACCAGGAGUGGAGCCUGCGGCUUAAUUUGACUCAACACGGGAAAACUCACCCGGCCCGGACACCGUAAGGAUUGACAGAUUGAGAGCCCUUUCUUAAUUCGGUGGGUGGUGGUGCAUGGCCGUUCUUAGUUGGUGGAGCGAUUUGUCUGGUUAAUUCCGAUAACGAACGAGACUCUGGCCUAUUAAAUAGACGAGAUAUUAAAAAGUAUAUCGCACUUCUUAGAGGGACAAGCGGCGUCUAGUCGCGUGAAAAAGAGCAAUAACAGGUCUGUGAUGCCCUUAGAUGUCCGGGGCUGUACGCGCGCUACACUGAAAGAAUCAGUGUGCGUUUUACCUAGUUCGGAAGAACCGGGUAACCCAAGUAAAUUCUUUCGUGCUUGGGAUAGGGAAUUGCAAUUAUUUCCCUUAAACGAGGAAUUCCCAGUAAAUGCGGGUCAUAAGCUCGCGUUGAUUACGUCCCUGCCCUUUGUACACACCGCCCGUCGCUACUACCGAUUGGAUGACUUAGUGA